GCUGCACCCGCUGAGUUUCUCCAGCAUUUUUUUGUGUACCUUCGAUUUUCCAGCAUCUGCAGAUCCUUCUUAAACAAUUAUUAUCUUAGCAUGUCCACCUUUAAAUGCGAUCAAGGGCACACCUGCAUUUCUUUUGCACAUGAAAGUUGGCUCCGUGAUGCAGAUUAAAUCUCUCUCUUCUGAAUGUGAUCAUGAUGAUAAAUAGAUCUGAAUGAGGAAACUAACUGGAUGGGUGUGGAGAUUAUUUUUUAAACAAAUGGAAUGCUUUUACUUUUGAACGCAUGUAUUACUUUCACUAAUAUCCCAGCCAGAGAGGGGGAGUGUUAGAUAUUGCUUUGGGAUGCUAUCAGGAAGCAACCUACUGGAGAGAGAGAGAGAGAAGUAGAGAUGGUUCACCCGCCAUUAACUGAUCAACAGCUGCAACAUGGGCGAGACCUUAUCGUGCGGAUGGGGGCGAGGGAGUGGAUGGACGAUUGUUAACGGGGGAGCAGCAGUAAAGCAUGUACGAGGCAAUACAAUCUCGCAUUCACUUCCAAUGCACCAGAGGCAUUUUCACAGAGCCCAAUUAACCUACAAACCCGCACGUCUUUGGGAUGCGAGAAGAAGCCGGAGCACCCGGAGGAAACCCGCGCGGUCAUAGGGAGAACAUGCAAACACUACACAGACAGCAAGCCGAGGUCAGGAUCGAACCCGGGUCUCUGGCGCUGUGAGGCAGCUGCUCUACCAGCUGUGCCACUGUGCCAUCCUAGACUUAUGCAAGUUAGUAAAUCUUUUCAAAAUGUAUAUCUGUUUUAGGACAAUGGUGUGCUAUCCUGCAAUCAUAAUCUUGGAAUUAUGCAGCAGUUAGACAUUGUUGGAUCAACAUAUUAAAGUAUGUUGAUCAGAUUUUAAAUUAUUAGUAACUAUUUCAUUAAAAUCUCCCACAGAGCAGCUGUAAGCCAUUAGAUCCAUAGUUUAUUUCUGUCUAAUCUUAAAGUUCAGGAACUUUGGAAAAAAUAUGUUUAUUGCAAAUUUAAGCAAGUUAGAUUUGAAUGGCAAAUUCUAGCCUGCCAUUAAAAUGAACUGCUUUGAAUGCUGUCAUUUUAUAUUUUUUAGUUAAGUACUUGCUGCCACAGACACAAUAAAAUAAAUGCUGAUUGCUGUCGUUGUGGGGUUGUUUCCAUGGAGACUAACACAUUGUGAUACAGGUUUAGCCUUGGAUUUUUCUAUUUAUGUUAAGAUGGGAUGAUACACAAUUGGCAACGCACACCUAAAAUCUAGCUAAGUUCUGCAGGGCUUUGUCUGUAAAAUGAGAGCCACACUUUUCAGUAAAUGUGGUUUGAGAUUAAUUACAGAUUGAAUGUAUUUUACAUUUUCAUUUUCAUUUACAUUCAUUUUACAAGCAAAAAGGGGAUAAGUGGGGUUGAGAGGGAAAGACAGACCAGCCAUGAUUGAAUGGUGGAGUUGACUUGAUGGGCCGAAUGGCCUAAUUCGACUCCAAUAACUUUUGAAAGAGGAAAUGCAGUAAAUUAAAACGUUUCAGUUUAAACAGAUGAUUUCUCAAAUGGCAUUUUGCUUCUUGAAUCUCUUGACCGUGAAACAGGCGAAGCAACUAGAUCCCGCUAAUUAGUUUUCAUAGAAACAUAGAAACAUAGAAAUUAGGUGCAGGAGUAGAGGCCAUUCGGCCCUUCGAGCCUGCACCGCCAUUCAAUAUGAUCAUGGCUGAUCAUGCAACUCAGUAUCCCGUACCUGCCUUCUCUCCAUACCCUCUGAUCCCCUUAGCCACAAGGGCCACAUCUAACUCUCUCUUAAAUAUAGCCAAUGAACUGGCCUUGACUACCCUCUGCGGCAGAGAGUUCCAGAGAUUCACCACUCUCUGGGUGAAAAAAGUUCUUCUCAUCUCGGUUUUAAAGGAUUUCCCCCUUAUCCUUAAGCUGUGACCCCCUGUCCUGGACUUCCCCAACAUCGGGAGCAAUCUUCCUGCAUCUAGCCUGUCCAACCCCUUAAGAAUUUUGUAAGUUUCUAUAAGAUCCCCUCUCAAUCUCCUAAAUUCUAGAGAGUAUAAACCAAGUCUAUCCAGUCUUUCUUCAUAAGACAGUCCUGACAUCCCAGGAAUCAGUCUGGUGAACCUUCUCUGCACUCCCUCUAUGGCAAUAAUGUCCUUCCUCAGAUUUGGAGACCAAAACUGUACGCAAUACUCCAGGUGUGCUCUCACCAAGACCCUGUACAACUGCAGUAGAACCUCCCUGCUCCUAUACUCAAAUCCUUUUUCAUUCCACUUGUUUAAUUUCACAAUGAUUGGGGCAACAUAUAUUGUGUGUAACCCUUGGUCAGUAAGUCCCCUUUUCCAGCUUUCUUCUCUCCCACUUCAAACAGUGUGAAGAAGGGUCUCGACCCAAAACAACAGCUAUCCAUCAACAUCACCUAUCCAUGUUCUCCAGAGAUGCUGCCUGUCCUGCUGAGUUACCCCAGCACUUUGUGCCUUUUAGUAUAUUAAUUAGCAUUUGCAGAUCCUUUGUUUCAACUUCUUCAGUGGUCAUUCAGCUUUGGAGUCAGAGAGUUGGGAACUCAAGCCCAUGGCCGUGAAUUGUGCACAUAAUCUGGGCUGGCAACACAAUGAGGGAGUUGCCAUCAUGUGUGAGAGUUCUUAACCUGCUCUGUUGAUUGCAUGUAAUGAUUAGACAAUCACUACGUAAGGGUCUGUCCCACUUACGCGACCUUGGCUCGCAAAUUACGCGACCUCGUGGUCGCUUGAGGCGUACGGGCACCGUAUGGCAACGCGGGGCCGGUCCCACUUAGAAGCGCAGAGUUGUGCGAGGCUGGUCCCGACAUCGUGCGGGGCUCCGAAAUUCCUGCAGUGACUGAAAUCUUCGCGCGCCAACGGCCUGUCGCCCCGCGUAUGCACGCAGGCGCAUUGUAGUCGUACGCAGCGUCUUGACGUCGUACACAGCAUCUUGACGGCGUACGCCUAACGCGUGGCAUUGCGUGAUGACAUCACCGCCCGGCGUGGCGUUGCGUGAUGACGUCACCGCCCGACACUGUGCGACGCCCAAAUUCAGUCGGCCCGCCACCUGCCCAGCUGAUUUGUAAGUAUGACGUAAAUGACGUCACGCGUGAAUUUAGCGCGAAAUUAGCGCGAACUUCGCGUGAACUCCGCAUCCGGUUGGUCGCGCCAAACGCACGCAAUCACGCAAGUGGGACAGGCCCUCUAGCCAAUGUCAACUAUCAACAUAUCAGAUUAAUACAUCACUGAUGUACGUGAAACCUUACUGCCUAUAUACUGGUUGUUGAAUGUUUCUAUGUUAAAGCACAAGCAUUUAUAACUAACCAAU